rnacentral:rRNA from 1 species
UACAGAGGUCUCAAGCGUUGUUCGGAUUCACUGGGCGUAAAGGGUGCGUAGGUGGUCGGGUAAGUUUAAGGUGAAAGCUCCGGGCUCAACCCGGAAAUGGCCUUGAAUACUAUCCGGCUCGAGGGUUGGAGGGGGGACUGGAAUUCUCGGUGUAGCAGUGAAAUGCGUAGAUAUCGAGAGGAACACCAGUGGCGAAGGCGAGUCCCUGGACAACACCUGACACUGAGGCACGAAAGCUAGGGGAGCAAACGGG